rnacentral:rRNA from 1 species
UGGACCCUACGGGGGGCAGCAGUGGGGAAUAUUGCACAAUGGGGGAAACCCUGAUGCAGCAACGCCGCGUGAGUGAAGAAGUAUUUCGGUAUGUAAAGCUCUAUCAGCAGGGAAGAAGAAAGACGGUACCUGACUAAGAAGCCCCGGCUAACUACGUGCCAGCAGCCGCGGUAAUACGUAGGGGGCAAGCGUUAUCCGGAUUUACUGGGUGUAAAGGGAGCGUAGACGGUGCGCCAAGUCUGGAGUGAAAUGCCGCAGCUUA